rnacentral:lncRNA from 1 species
CGCCCACCUUGUGCGGAGCAGCUGGACUGGGGUGCCUUCCGGCCCCCGCACCCACAGAAGCCUGGGGCCAUCUCGUCCCCAGUUGCCACCCGGGGCUCUGGGGGCACAGCGCGCUGUGCCUUCAGGCCGGCCAAGUCCCAGGCUCCCCGCCGCCUGUCUAGGCAGCACUCAUCCUCCUGAGGCUCCUCGGCUCUGAGCAGGUGUCCCGAAAACUCACCUCCAGGGUGCUCAGAGCCUGACUUCCCACAGGCUGCCGCAGCUGCUGCCCUCUCCAGGCUUUGGGGGUGGGGGCAGCUGCCACCCCACCUCCGUCUCCCCCAGUCUCUCUCCCCUCCGACAAAGUCCCAGCAGAACCUGCCAGGCCUCAAGCCGGCUAAGGCACUGUCCCCUCGGGCAGGGUCCCCCAAGGGCCCUUGGCGGCUCGGCACGGCCUCCCCACUGCAGCCUCGCGUAAGCCCCAGAUCGCCCCCUCACCGCUUGCUGUCACUUCCUGUGGUCCUGCCUGUGUCCUCACGUGACUUGUCACAACUGACACCGGCCCCGUCUCCUCACUUAUCUGUCUUCUCUCUCGACUAGCUGGGCCCAUUUACUGCUGUGUCUGCUGGGCCUGAGCAGUUGGGCACCCAGAAUUUUUGGCGGGUGAGUGCCUGAGAGGCGAGGUCAGCAGGCAGGAUAACGCCCUGCAGAGCGUGUCUCAAGCUGACUGUUGCUGGCCUCUUGGUGGGGAGCCCCCAGGAGCCUCAAGUGGAACUGGACAGAGUGUCAGGGAAGCCCACAGCAGGGACGGAGCCUGAGAACCUGUCCCCAGCGUGGGGGCCGCCCACGCAGGCCAGCCUUGGGGAGCGAGGAGUGGGCCCCGCAGGCAAGGCUGGGCGGAAAGCCCCGCUCGGAGCCCUGCCUGUUGAGAACGUUCCAGUUUCUGCGCUUCUGGCCGCUGCUGCAGGUGGGGACGCAGCUGUGCAGGUCCACCAGCCGCGGGCGAAAGAGCUUCACGACCUCCGCCAGCAUCACUGGGGCGCGGCGGGCAGGGGUGUGGGGUGGGCCCAGGGCCCCCGGAUGUUUGCAGCAUUCGUCCCCCAGGGCCUCCACACGGAGGAGGAUAGAGGGGGGUCCCGGGGAGCCCCCGCAGGGUGUGGGCGCCCCGGCGGGAGGACCGUGAGGGCCAGCGGGCUCCGGGGAGCUGCUAGGGGACCCCCAGGGCAGGCGGGGG